GCAUGAAGCUGGAAUCGCUAGUAAUCGCAAAUACAGAAUGUUGCGGUGAAUACGUUCCCGGGUCUUGUACACACCGCCCGUCACACCAUGGGAGUCGGAAAUGCCCGAAGUCUGUGACCCAACGAAAGAGGGAGCAGCCGAAGGCAGGUCUGAUAACUGGGGUGAAGUCGUAACAAGGUAGC
rnacentral:rRNA from 1 species